CCUACGGGAGGCAGCAGUGAGGAAUAUUGGUCAAUGGGCGCGAGCCUGAACCAGCCAAGUAGCGUGAAGGAUGACUGUACUACGUGUUGUAAACUUCUUUUAUCAAGGAAUAAAGUGAGGCACGUGUCCCCUUUUGUAUGUACUUUAUGAAUAAGGAUCGGCUAACUCCGUGCCAGCAGCCGCGGUAAUACGGAGGAUCCGAGCGUUAUCCGGAUUUAUUGGGUUUAAAGGGAGCGUAGGUGGGUUGUUAAGUCAGUUGUGGAAGUUUGCGGCUCAACCGUAAACUUGCAGUUGAUACUGGCAGUCUUGAGUACGGUUGAGGUAGGCGGAAUUCGUGGUGUAGCGGUGAAAUGCAUAGAUAUCACGAAGAACUCCGAUUGCGAAGGCAGCUUGCUA
rnacentral:rRNA from 1 species